AUGGUGGGGGAGGCUCUAUUGACUUCAUGUCAUGUCCUGAAUAGAGUUCCCAACAAUAAUAAGGAGAAAACCCCUUAUGAGGAGUGGGUUGGGAGAAAACCAUCACUUUCUUAUUUGCGCACUUGGGGAUGUUUGGCAAAGGUCAAUAUUCCUAUUCCUAAGAAACGCAAACUUGGACCAAAGACAGUGGAUUGUGUCUUUCUAGGGUAUGCUCAACGGAGCAUUGCUUAUAGGUUUUUAGUGGUAAAAUCUGAAGUACCUGAUAUGCAUGUUGAUACUAUAAUGGAAUCUCGUGAUGCAACAUUUUUUGAGAACAUAUUUCCUAUGAAAGAUAUGCAUAGCAUUGCUAGAUUUUCUUCUGAGAUAAUUCCUGAAUCUAGUACAACUGAUGAAUAUUUCGAACAAUCACAUGAGGAAGUCCUUGAGAAGGAUAACAAUGAAGUUCCUAUAAGGAACAAGAGACAAAGGAUUGCAAAAUCCUUUGGUGAUGAUUUCAUUGUAUACCUUGUGGACGACACACCCAAGACGAUUGCAGAAGCAUAUGCAUCUCCGGAUGUAGAUGAUUGGAAAGAAGCUGUUCAUAAUGAGAUGGACUCAAUUCUUUCUAACGGAACUUGGGAACUAACUGAUAGACCAUAUGGUUGUAAACCUGUGGGCUGUAAGUGGGUGUUCAAAAAGAAGCUAAAGCCUGAUGGUACUAUUGAUAAGUACAAGGCGCGGCUAGUGGCCAAGGGCUACACUCAGAAAGAAGGCAAAGAUUACUUUGACACCUAUUCACCCGUUGCUAGAAUGACCACCAUUCGAGUGUUACUUUCCUUGGCUGCCUCUUAUGGUCUUAUCAUUCAUCAAAUGGAUGUAAAGACAGCUUUUCUCAAUGGAGAGUUGGAAGAGGAGAUCUAUAUGGAUCAGCCUGACGGGUUUGUGGUAAAGGGUGAAGAGAGAAAGGUGUGCAAGUUGUUAAAAUCUUUGUAUGGUCUGAAACAGGCACCUAAGCAAUGGCAUGAGAAGUUUGAAAGAACUCUGACUUCUGCAGGAUUUGUCAUUAACGAGGCUGAUAGGUGUGUUUACUAUCGCCAUGGUGGGGGCAAUAGUGUCAUAUUUUGUUUGUAUGUGGACGACAUACUGAUCUUUGGUACAAACAUUAAUGCAAUUAAUGAGGUCAAGUCUUUUCUAUCAAAGAGUUUUGACAUGAAAGAUCUGGGAGAAGCCGAUGUAAUUCUAAACAUCAAACUUAUUAAGGAUGAGAGUGGGAUUACAUUAACGCAAUCUCACUAUGUUGAGAAGGUCUUGAACCGAUUCGGUUUUAUGGAUAGCAAGCCUUCUCCAACACCUUAUGAUCCCAGCGUGACACUCAGAAAGAACAAGAAAGAAACGAGAGAUCAAUUAAGAUACUCUCAAAUUGUCGGUUCACUCAUGUACUUAGCUAGCGCUACAAGACCAGAUAUCUCUUUUGCUGUGAGCAAACUGAGUAGGUUCAUGUCCAACCCGGGUGAUGAUCAUUGGCAUGCACUAGAAAGGGUCUUGCGCUAUCUGAGAGGUACUAUGAGUUACGGAAUUACUUAUUCAGGGCAUCCUGCUGCGCUAGAAGGAUAUAGUGAUUCAAAUUGGAUCUCCGAUGUUGAUGUACUCUACGCAACAAGUGGGUAUGUAUUUACUCAUGGUGGUGGCGCAGUGUCAUGGAGGUCUUGCAAGCAAACCAUAUUGACGAGGUCAACUAUGGAAGCAGAAUUAACUGCUUUGGACACAGCUACUGUUGAGGCAGAAUGGCUGCGUGAGCUCUUGAUGGACUUGCAGGUUGUUGAAAAACCUGUACCGGCUAUUCUUAUGAAUUGUGAUAACCAAACGGUUAUCGCUAAAGUGAACAAUUCUAAAGAUAAUGCAAAGUCAUCAAGACACGUGAAGAGACGUUUGAAGUCUGUCAGGAAGUUGAGAAACUCCGGAGUAAUAACUGUUACGUAUAUACAAACAGACAAAAACCUGGCAGAUCCCUUUACAAAGGGACUAUCACGAAAUGUGAUAGAUAUUGCAUCGAGGGAGAUGGGUAUGAGACCCAUA
rnacentral:rRNA from 1 species